CCGGAUCAGGGUGACACCCUUGUCCCCUUUCCCCUGAUCUGAUAACCUUGUGCAGCACGGCAACACCUACCACACUUCUCAAACCUCAGGCUACCUUCGACGCCUUCAACAAUGACAAGAAGUCAAGAAGAAGAAUAAAAAGGUGAGUGAGAAGCGUUACUGAAUUUUGAAGACCUGAAGCGCACGGCAAGGUCCUGCCGGAGGGAGUUGCCGUCGCAGGAAUAUGAGACUUUUUUGUCCCAGUACCACACUACUUAAAAAGGUAAGACUGCUGAAAUGGAAGUAGUUGCUGUACCAUCACUUCCAAAACAGUUGCAUCUCUAUACUGCAGCAGAUGAGGUGAUCAAUUCCCUACUUGAUUUGCGACUUGAAAAGUGGGGUCUGCCUCCAUUUGAAGAUUGGGUGGAGGGAACUUUGCCCCUAGAUCCUUGGUAUAUUGUUGGUCCUGUCGUUAAGGGAUUUGGUCGUGACUCGAAGGUACUUGGGAUCCCUAUAGCAAAUUUAUCAACAAAGGGCUAUUCAGAUCUCCUUUCAGAGCAUCCUGCGGGAGUUUAUUUUGGUUGGGCUGGAUUGUCAGCCAGAGGUGUUUUUAAAAUGGUGAUGAGCGUUGGUUGGAAUCCUUAUUUCAACAACAAAGAGAAGACUAUAGAACCAUGGUUACUUCAUGACUUCAACGAAGAUUUCUAUGGAGAAGAACUGCGGCUUGUUAUAGUUGGUUACAUACGUCCCGAGGCCAAUUUUCCAUCCCUUGAAAGCUUGGUAGCUAAAAUUCAUGAAGAUCGAAGAGUUGCUGAGAGGGCCCUUGAUCUUCCCUUGUAUUCAAGUUUUAAGAAUGAUUCGUAUUUGAGAAGCUCUCAGUACCAUUUUUUCUGAUCCCAUAGCUUCUUGUCCAAGAAAACCCUGGUGUUAAUUGUUCUUCCAUCUCUAGCAGCGAGGUUGUGCCAGUAGCAGAAACGAUGGGAGAAGAAGAGGUGCUUGAAUCCGAAUCCAAUGUAACCAACGGCAACGUCCAAAUUCAACUUCUGCUUCUCUCUUCUCUUAGGUCACCCGAUGGUUCCCCGACGACAACACUCUCCGCCUCUUCUCUUCAUUCAAUUCUCAUUAUCCACUGUAAUCUAAUCUAUUCAUUCCGUACAAUUAAUUCAUUUUCCUUUCCAUUUCGCAGACCGGGAACCGGAAGCGACGCCCCCGUUGCUGCUUACUUCAUAAAUAAAUAAAAUUUUUGCUUUCCGUGCUACUUGCAAGCUUUUUUACCUGUUAAUUUGCAGGCUACACGAUGAUAUGCAGGUCUCAUAAAAUGAGGACCAUUUAUUUUGCAAGCACAAGCCAUAUACUUGCAGGCUUAUGUGAGGCAAGUUAACCUACAUAUCUUAGAGCUCUAGUGUUGCCACUAUUGACAUUUUUAUCAGCUUUGUAAUUAUUAUUAUCACUAUGGUUAGAUUAUCAC